rnacentral:rRNA from 1 species
AUUCCAGCUCCAAUAGCGUAUAUUAAAGUUGUUGCAGUUAAGAAGCUCGUAGUUGGAUUUCUGGUAGCUCGUGAGCGGGUUAGGCCGUGUGCCUAUGCCCAUUGCGGGUUCCAUCCUUCUGUAAAACGAUUUCGUCCUUCAUUGGGCGGCUUCGGGCUCAGAUACUUUACCUUGAGAAAAUUAGAGUGUUUCAGGCAGGCUUGCGCCGGAAUACAUUAGCAUGGAAUAAUAGAAUAGGACUUCGUCUCAUUUUGUUGGUUGUAUGAACGGAGUAAUGAUUAAUAGGGAUAGUUGGGGGCAUUAGUAUUUAACUGUCAGAGGUGAAAUUCUUUAAUUUGUUAAAGACUAACUUAUGCGAAAGCAUUUGCCAAGAAUGUUUUCAUUG